rnacentral:rRNA from 1 species
AACGUAGGAGACAAACGUUAUCCGGAGUUACUGGGCGUAAAGGGCGUGUAGGUGGUUUCGUAAGUCUGGCGUGAAAUUUCUCGGCUUAACCGAGGCAGGUCGUCGGAUACUGCGAGGCUAGAGGACGGUAGAGGCGUGUGGAAUUCCGGGUGUAGUGGUGAAAUGCGUAGAGAUCCGGAGGAACACCAGUGGCGAAGGCGGUGAUCUGGGCCGACACUGACGCUGUAGAGCGAAAGCGUGGGGAGCGAACAGG